rnacentral:rRNA from 1 species
CUGCUAUCGGAUUGAUACUAAGCCAUGCGAGUCUUUGUAGUAAUACAAGGCAGACGGCUCAGUAACACGUAGUCAACCUACCCUAUGGACGAGAAUAAUCUCGGGAAACUGAGCAUAAUUCUUGAUAGAUCAUAAUGCCUGGAAUGGUUUAUGGUUAAAAUGAUUCGUCGCCAUAGGAUGGGACUGCGGCCUAUCAGCUUGUUGGUGAGGUAAUGGCCCACCAAGGCGAUUACAGGUACGGGCUCUGAGAGGAGAAGCCCGGAGAUGGGUACUGAGACACGGACCCAGGCCCUAUGGGGCGCAGCAGGCGAGAAAACUUUGCAAUGUGCGAAAGCACGACAAGGUUAAUCCGAGUGAUUUCUGCUAAAGAAAUCUUUUGUCAGUCGUAAAACCACUGGCGAAUAAGGGGUGGGCAAGUUCUGGUGUCAGCCGCCGCGGUAAAACCAGCACCUCAAGUGGUCAGGAUGAUUAUUGGGCCUAAAGCAUCCGUAGCCGGCUUUGUAAGUUUUCGGUUAAAUCCAUGUGCUCAACGCAUGGGCUGCCGAAAAUACUGCAUGGCUAGGGAGUGGGAGAGGUAGACGGUACUCAGUAGGAAGGGGUAAAAUCCUUUGAUCUAUUGAUGACCACCUGUGGCGAAGGCGGUCUACCAGAACACGUUCGACGGUGAGGGAUGAAAGCUGGGGGAGCAAACCGGAUUAGAUACCCGGGUAGUCCCAGCCGUAAACGAUGCAGACUCGAUGAUGCAUUGGCAUAAUAGCCAAUGCAGUGUCGCAGGGAAGCCGUUAAGUCUGCCGCCUGGGAAGUACGUACGCAAGUAUGAAACUUAAAGGAAUUGGCGGGG